rnacentral:tRNA from 1 species
CGGGGUAUAGCGAAGUUGGCUAUCGCGCCUGCUUUGGGAGCAGGAGAUCGCCGGUUCGAGUCCGGCUACCCCGA